rnacentral:rRNA from 1 species
UACGUAGGGUGCGAGCGUUGUCCGGAAUUACUGGGCGUAAAGAGCUUGUAGGUGGUUUGUCGCGUUGUUCGUGAAAUCUCACGGCUUAACUGUGAGCGUGCGGGCGAUACGGGCAGACUAGAGUACUGCAGGGGAGACUGGAAUUCCUGGUGUAGCGGUGGAAUGCGCAGAUAUCGGGAGGAACAUCAGUGGCGAAGGCGGCCUUCUGGUCCAGUACUGACACUCAAGUGCGAAAGCGUGGGGAGCAAACAGG